UGAAGAAGUCCUUAGUAGAAGAUAGAGCGCAAAAAAGGUUCCGGCGUGAGCCUAUGCAACGAUAUAAUAAUGCAGUUCUGAUGAAGCAAUCUUCAUUAGAAGAGAGGCCCACAAAAAGUUCUGAUCUUUGUUCUGAUGCAUCCUCUCAUAGCCGUCAACCUAGACCAUUCUUUUCAUCAAACAGUGAACAUCUCAAGGCUGUACUUUAUAAAAGACAUGGUAUUGCUGCUUUAAGGUCUGUAGCUGAUAUGUUGACCAAGAGUACACAAGAUUCAAUCAAGGCGAUUGCCAAAUGUCAACGUGUUAUUGAUGAUGCUAAUAGAAGUCCUCAAUGAUUCUAUGUAAUUUUUUUAUUUGGGCACAUUAAUUGCCUUGUAAUUUUCCUAGUUA